GGGACCAUCCUCCAAGGCUAAAUACUCCUGACUGACCGAUAGUGAACCAGUACCGUGAGGGAAAGGCGAAAAGAACCCCGGCGAGGGGAGUGAAAAAGAACCUGAAACCGUGUACGUACAAGCAGUGGGAGCCUCUUAAUGGGGUGACUGCGUACCUUUUGUAUAAUGGGUCAGCGACUUAUAUUCUGUAGCAAGGUUAACCGAAUAGGGGAGCCGAAGGGAAACCGAGUCUUAACUGGGCGUUAAGUUGCAGGGUAUAGACCCGAAACCCGGUGAUCUAGCCAUGGGCAGGUUGAAGGUUGGGUAACACUAACUGGAGGACCGAACCGACUAAUGUUGAAAAAUUAGCGGAUGACUUGUGGCUGGGGGUGAAAGGCCAAUCAAACCGGGAGAUAGCUGGUUCUCCCCGAAAGCUAUUUAGGUAGCGCCUCGUGAAUUCAUCUCCGGGGGUAGAGCACUGUUUCGGCAAGGGGGUCAUCCCGACUUACCAACCCGAUGCAAACUGCGAAUACCGGAGAAUGUUAUCACGGGAGACACACGGCGGGUGCUAACGUCCGUCGUGAAGAGGGAAACAACCCAGACCGCCAGCUAAGGUCCCAAAGUCAUGGUUAAGUGGGAAACGAUGUGGGAAGGCCCAGACAGCCAGGAUGUUGGCUUAGAAGCAGCCAUCAUUUAAAGAAAGCGUAAUAGCUCACUGGUCGAGUCGGCCUGCGCGGAAGAUGUAACGGGGCUAAACCAUGCACCGAAGCUGCGGCAGCGACACUAUGUGUUGUUGGGUAGGGGAGCGUUCUGUAAGCCUGUGAAGGUGGCCUGUGAGGGUUGCUGGAGGUAUCAGAAGUGCGAAUGCUGACAUAAGUAACGAUAAAGCGGGUGAAAAGCCCGCUCGCCGGAAGACCAAGGGUUCCUGUCCAACGUUAAUCGGGGCAGGGUGAGUCGACCCCUAAGGCGAGGCCGAAAGGCGUAGUCGAUGGGAAACAGGUUAAUAUUCCUGUACUUGGUGUUACUGCGAAGGGGGGACGGAGAAGGCUAUGUUGGCCGGGCGACGGUUGUCCCGGUUUAAGCGUGUAGGCUGGUUUUCCAGGCAAAUCCGGAAAACC
rnacentral:rRNA from 1 species